rnacentral:rRNA from 1 species
UGCUUGCACCUGAUUGAUUUUGGUCGCCAACGAGUGGCGGACGGGUGAGUAACACGUAGGUAACCUGCCCAGAAGCGGGGGACAACAUUUGGAAACAGAUGCUAAUACCGCAUAACAACGUUGUUCGCAUGAACAACGCUUAAAAGAUGGCUUCUCGCUAUCACUUCUGGAUGGACCUGCGGUGCAUUAGCUUGUUGGUGGGGUAACGGCCUACCAAGGCGAUGAUGCAUAGCCGAGUUGAGAGACUGAUCGGCCACAAUGGGACUGAGACACGGCCCAUACUCCUACGGGAGGCAGCAGUAGGGAAUCUUCCACAAUGGGCGCAAGCCUGAUGGAGCAACACCGCGUGAGUGAAGAAGGGUUUCGGCUCGUAAAGCUCUGUUGUUAAAGAAGAACACGUAUGAGAGUAACUGUUCAUACGUUGACGGUAUUUAACCAGAAAGUCACGGCUAACUACGUGCCAGCAGCCGCGGUAAUACGUAGGUGGCAAGCGUUAUCCGGAUUUAUUGGGCGUAAAGAGAGUGCAGGCGGUUUUCUAAGUCUGAUGUGAAAGCCUUCGGCUUAACCGGAGAAGUGCAUCGGAAACUGGA